UCUCUCGCUAUAUUUUUCGAUCUCAUCACAAAAGAGUGUGCGUCGUUACCAUCUGUCUGAUAGAAGUAUAAUUUGAAGUGCGUUGAUUACUUUGGUUUGUGUUUGCCAAUGUUGUUUAGCAUAACGCAUCAUCAAACUCAUAUGUGAAUGCUACAGAAUCAAUGUGAAAUUUCUACUAGCAACACAGUAAAAUUGAACUUUAUUCAUACAAAAGUUUCUGGUUUCAUCUAUUUUGCUUGUGUCACAAUUUGGACGAUAUAACUGCUUGGUUUUUCAAUCCAGGGGAAGUGUGUGUGAUUUUUUUAAAUCUGUGAUGCGAGAAUGCCUCAAUUCACCAGGACAAUUACUGCGGAGCGCACUCAUUCGUAAAUGAAGAUGAUGUCGAUGAUAAAAUCGAGAACCAUUCAUGGAAAUAAAUAAAAUGUUUUGUGAACAAUGCACGUUCAGAUAUAACAUUUCGAUGUCGCCUUGCUCUCAUUUUUUUUCUCCGUAAAUAUAUCGGUCUCGACUCGAACAAUAUGACACUUAAUGUUUGCUUUUUGUGGACUAUUGUCGUUAGAACAAUAAUUUAAUGUGUUUUGCUUGCAAAUUUGUCACAUACACUUACCACACACAUAUAUUGUGAAUUAGAUCGAAUAGGUAAACAAUGUGUCGCAUUUCGAUUUCGCUUCGAGAGACAAUGACGACAUUUUUUCAUAUCAUAUUACGCGUUCUAAUGUUAAUCUUAUACCAAGUGCUCUUUUAUCUAUGAUUCAGUUCAUGCUGCCCCAUGUACAACUUGAAACUUCCUUUCAGCAGCUUCAAAAGGUAACUUCCAAGCGCCCGCAAAGCGCUAUAGCAUGAUAAGAUGAUAAAUGGACAAAUAAAAAGUUUACACUUGAAGACAUGGCAAAAAGGAGCAAUAAAAAUAUUGAGAGCAAAUACAUAAAAUUUUACGCGAAGAACAAUAUAUAUGAAAAAAAUGUUGAGUGCAUCAACGCUUUUAAUCCGAAUAAUUAGGGAAAGAGAAUCCUAUUCUAACACGAUUCUGCCAUUAAAUCAUUUUUCGGACACUUAUAGUAAACAAAGUAUGUGAGUAAAGCAGAGCCAAGAGACAAACGAGAAGAAAAAACCAAUCCGCAAUGUUGGUUUUAUUGAGCCGCAAAAUGGAAAAAUAUUGGUUUAUCGGCAACCGCAAGAUAUGUGCUUGUUGUUCAAACUUAUUUCAAAGCAAUUUGUUGUUAUAAAUACUCGCUGUGAAUGCUGUAAAUGAAAAAGGAACGAAAAAACCGCCACCACAUAAACUGUGAGAGUAUCGAAAGAAUAAGCUUAAAUGGGUCGAAAAGGUGUGAUGUAGCUUCUACAUUUCUCAUGAUUUUAUUGCACGUAUAAAUGAUAGUGGCCGCAUUCGGAGGGAGGAUGGUGAAAAACCACCAAAUGUAAUAUGUUUGCAGAUAGAAAAUGGAUUUGCUUAUCUGCAAAUCGCGGUCUUGUGUCUACCAUUCGCUGCGGUGAAAAUAUCAUCAUGUGUGUGUAUGCAUGUGGUUGAAAUAAAUAGCAUACACCACACGCAGUUCAAGAGAAAAUUCUACAAAAUUCGUUGUGAUAAGACAUACUCUGUGCUUAUGUCGAUUUCGUAGUCAAACGACCUGUCAAAGCCUCAGCUGUGUACACAUCCAUAGAAGGGGGCACGUAAAUAAUAACAAAGAGAGCGAGAACACAGGCAAAGAAGUGUUGGUAAGCAUAAAAUUCUGCAUUCAAUAGCCAGACAUAAAACCAAAAAUACACUAUUCAGCGAAUAAAGUAAAGUGUUUUAUUACAUCUUUCGAUUGAAAAC